rnacentral:lncRNA from 1 species
AAUUUUCCCUUUCCUAGAUGGAAGCUAAGUUGUAUGUUUUGUGCCACAGCCUCCUGAUUUGUAUGAUACCAACACAUCCCUCAGUAUGUCUCGAGAUGCCUCUGUAUUUCAAGAUGAGAGUAAUAUGUCUGUCUUGGAUAUUCCCACUGCCACUCCAGAAAAGCAAGUAACACAGAUGCGCCAGGGCCGAGGUAGGCUGGGCGAGGAAGACUCUGAUGUAGAUAUUGAAGGGUAUGAUGAUGAGGAGGAGGAUGGGAAACCUAAGACUCC